CAGGAAGGUGUGGGCGUGCCCCAACAGGCGCUACGUCGCUGAAGCCUGCUGGGGGGACUGCUUCUGCCCUCACUUUGCCGAGGAGGAGCAGCACAAUAAAAAACUGCAGGGUUCACUAGACCGGCCAGGAGAAGGUACUCUUAAAUAUAUCCAUACCACCCACACCAGGAGCAACAUGGGGGUGUUUGUACCAGAAACUACAUAUAGGCUUUGCUAAUAUUUCAUUCAUUACAAAAGCCACAAUGUGCUGCCAGAUCCAUCACAUGAAGACCACAUGAUUCAACAGCAAACUCACUGGACCGUGUUAACGUGAAAAACCUUUUAUAAUGGAACCUGAUCCCUCAGCACCCCGUGGCUCUGAUUACAGAGGGGUUCCCCUUUAAGCUCGACCUCAAGUAUUUAUGGAAAGUUACAACGCAGAGCACAAAGGAGAUGGACAUCCUCAAGGUCAUUUUGAUGGUUGUCUUGCCUUUAUCUCCUUUACUCCUGGACUAGACUUAUCUUGCAUUGAAUCUGUAAUUAGAAAUACUGUAAAUACUGUAUUUCCUGCUUAGGUUUAGAAAGCUAAAUAACAUUACACUUUCCAGCUGACUUGGCCA